UCUAACAUCAGUGGAUUAAAGGAGAGCACCAACACCUGCUUGGAUGGGGUCCAUCAGCAGGCUUCAGCAGGUUCAUGUGAAAUAACAACAUUUAAUGAAAAUACCACUACACCAGCUGCCUACACCAGAACUGCCGUGCCACCUUUCUCUUCAAGAGAGCCUUAAGCCUUGUUUGUUCUGUCUCCCUCAGAGGCAUAUUGAGCCCAGACUCCUGCUCUGACCAUGGAAGAUCCACUCCAUCUGAACUCAAUCCUUAACUUGACCACCAUCUCUACAACCGUCCCACUCAACGCCUCAGCCGGCGACUUGGUCACGAAUGCUACAGUCAGUCCCUUCAGCGUGUUUGAGGGAUGUGAGGAGAUGGAGCAGGGCAUCCUUUUCGACCUGGCUGUUCAGACAUUUAAUGUUGUACUGGGACUCCCUGCUAACAUCUUAGUCAUUGUGAUUCUGCUCCAUAACCGAAAGGAGCCGUCUUCCUCUGACCUCUUCCUGGGCUGUCUGGCCUUUAUGGAUGCUUACUUCGGCAUCAUGGUCCCAUUCAGCUAUCUCAACCUAUACUACUGGAACAGCAAGGAGGUCUGGUCUGCACUCAAGUUCUCCUACGGUGUCAAGGACACUAGCGGCCCUCUGUUCCUGUCCUGUAUUUGUUUGGAUCGGUUCGUGGCCGUGCUCUUCCC
ensembl:lncRNA